GGCAAAGGGCUGUAGCUCAGUGACAGAGCACCUGCUUUGCAUGCAAAAGGUCCUGAGUUCAAUCCCUGGUAUUGCUG